rnacentral:rRNA from 1 species
UACAGGGGGGGCAAGCGUUGUUCGGAAUUACUGGGCGUAAAGGGUCUGUAGGUGGCCAACUAAGUCAAACGUGAAAUCCCUCAGCUUAACUGGGGAACUGCGUCUGAUACUGGAUGGCUCGAGUGUGGGAGAGGAAUGCGGAAUUCCAGGUGUAGCGGUGAAAUGCGUAGAUAUCUGGAGGAGCACCGGUGGCGAAGGCGGCAUUCUGGACCACAACUGACACUGAGAGACGAAAGCCAGGGGAGCAAACGGG